CGAUAACCGAUGAAACGUGGACCGAAUUUGCUCGGGGGAUGAGUCAAUGGAAACGUUCAAUCUGUCAUAUAAUUCGUGGUGGUUUGCCAUCUUGGAAAAGAGCUACGAAGAAGAGAAUUAAUCUGAGCUGGAGAUGAUAAAUGAUUUCAAUUUUGUUACACCUUUAAUCUAUGCAGGAAGGAGAAAUAGUUUGUGUAAAAUUAACCAUUUGUCGUAUUUUAUUUACUAUGAUAAAUAAAAUCAAGUAAAAAGUA